rnacentral:rRNA from 1 species
AGUGGCGGACGGGUGAGUAACGCGUGAGUAUCUGCCCUAAGGCGGGGGACAACAGUUGGAAACGACUGCUAAUACCCCAUAUGCCGAGAGGUGAAAGGUUUACUACCUUAGGAUGAGCUCGCGUCUGAUUAGCUAGUAGGUGAGGUAAUGGCUUACCUAGGCGACGAUCAGUAGCUGGUCUGAGAGGAUGAUCAGCCACACUGGGACUGAGACACGGCCCAGACUCCUACGGGAGGCAGCAGUGGGGAAUUUUCCGCAAUGGGCGAAAGCCUGACGGAGCAACGCCGCGUGAGGGAGGAAUGUCUUUGGAUUGUAAACCUCUUUUCUCAAGGAAGAUAAUGACGGUACUUGAGGAAUCAGCAUCGGCUAACUCCGUGCCAGCAGCCGCGGUAAUACGGGGGAUGCAAGCGU